rnacentral:lncRNA from 1 species
GACAAAUUGCACCGAAUGAUAAUGAUUUUUAAUUACUUCCUGGAUUAAGAAUACUUGGUAAUUUUAAGAGCUGGGAUUCAGUAAGGUAGGAUUAUAUUUUGUCUACACAAAGAAUGCGUACAUCACUUAAAGUAUAAUUAUUAAACUUUGUUUUUUAAGACCAAAAGAAGUGUUUUUUGUCUUUUUUAUCCUGCAAAUAUUAUUUUUCUUUCCUACAGAAAAGUCUUUUUCGACAUGUAUUUUUACAGCUAAUAUUUAUUCAAAUACAUUUGUGAAUAUGAGUUUAAACGUUUAAAAACAUUUUCGUUAAUAUAUUAAAACGUUAUUUAUAAAACAAAGUAAGGUCAAUAUUACAGGAAUUCGUCAAUAAUGACAUACUCACCUAUUUAAAAAACGUAAACUACUAAACAAAUAUGUAGCAUGGUGCAUUUUCUGGUUACGAAAGUUUGAAUUGUUCAAAAUACUAUAGGAUAUUAUUGUCCAAGGCAUAGAUUACGUUAGACGUAUUUGGCACAACGUUUUUUGGAAUUUUAGUUCCUCAAUGCUCUUCAACUUUAAUUUGUAUUUGUUUUUUGCUUUCAAACUAUUUUCAUCUGAGCCUCAUUGAUAAGUCUUACGAAAUCGAAACUCGCGUUUGGCGUAUAAACUUUAAAGCCUUUGAUAACUUUUUUCAACCAAUUGAUAGAAUCGAGAGUCAUAAUUUAGUAACGAACUGAUCAGGUAAAUUUAAACAAGUUUACAAUAUUUACUAAGUAAGAUUGAGAGACUAUUUAUAUUGAAGAAUUAAAUUAAUCACUUCAUGAUAAUGACGAACGAAAUAAUCUUAUUUGCUGCUAAAUGUGAUUUUUUUGUCUUUCUUAGAAGGAAUUACAAAAUCCACUGAAAAAUAAUGCUAAAUACACAUAAUAUUUUUAAUGUUGUAUUUGGUAAUAUUACCAGCAUAAGAUGCAUUGAUAUCACAUAUCAAGCAAUAAGUGUCAACGAAAAUCUUUUGUAAAUCAUUAUGUCAAUUUAUACUAAAGAUGUCUUUUUGCAAGUUAAUGUGUCGCAAAUAAAGUUUAGCUAGCGACCCAAACACAUUUAUGUAAUGUUUUUACUUUAAAAUUUUCUGAAUGAAGGCUAAGUAUCUAUAGACGAAACGACACAGCCCUUUAUUUUUAUCACUACAACUGUAUGGAUACACACGAAUAUUUUCUGAAGAAACUUCCGAUUUGUUUCGAAACACAAAAGUGCGAUUAGUUUUUAAAAAGUAGAAUCACAAAAAUACUGAACAACACGGAAAAUUCAAAACGAAAAGUCCUUAAUCAAAUUGCAAAAUCGAAAUCUCAAACACAUUAAACGAAUGAACAAAACAUGUGACAUAAUACAUUUAAAUGAUACGUUUAAUAGGUCAACAAGUUCAUAAAUUAUCUUCUCAUUUUUCUCUUUUUGCUUUAAAGACGUAUCUAAUAAAGACUAUCGUAAUACUGUCCUAUCAUUUCAUCUUGGAAUUUGUGGGAUGAUCAAUUCGCUUAUUUUUAGUUAUGAGCAAUACUUAGAUAAUCCUUUGUUCUUGCAGUGACACUUUGCACAAUACAAUGUAUCGGAAUACUUUAUGUAAAUAGCAAACAGUCCACCAUAGUUCAAAGAUCUCCAUAGAACAAAGAUGCAAAACAGAAAACUAAAUUCUGGAAAUUACGCUGUGUGAAUCUAUUCCGAGGUAAAUCCACUUACAUUAAAGUGCAAGCAUACUCAUAUAUUAUGAAGUAAUUGAUAUUGAAAUAUCAGAGGGGUAGUCAUACUCAUAGAAUUAGACUGAAUUAAUUUCCAAAUAUUGCUAUUCAUUGAUGGAUAUAUGAUACAGGUUAACUUUUUCACUAAAGAAGUUUAAACCCACAUCAUCCCCUUAUUUGAAUAUGUGUUUUAAUAGAGACCGAAAUAUUUCUAAUUCUAGUUGUUAAAUUCUAUGAACGAUAUUGAGGAUGGGAGUGGUGUUGUGUUCUUUGAAAUAUUUGUAUCUUUAGAAACUGUAGUGUCGUAUAAUGUUAUAUUUUGUGAAAUAUCAUCACAAGCUACAUACGCUUUCACUUACUUUGAAAUUAAUUGGAUAACCUUAAUGUGUUUACCUUACGUGUAUUUUAUUUCAGUAAGUUGUUUGCCAGCCGUUUCGUUGGUUAAUACAGCCGACCGUUUGAUUUGCCCGGCUUUAAAGACUUCUUCUCUUAUUUAAAAUAUCUUUAAGUUCGUUUUUUUUUGUAAAUAAAAUGUUUUUCCAUGGACUUUUAUUUAUUUCUCAAUAUCGAGAGUUCAAUAUCAUAGUUGGUGUACCUAUAGUCUAAAUUGAUAUAAGUCGAUUUUUGUUAUCGUUGUUGAUUUUAUUCUUGCUUCUCCUUUGAUUGUCCUUGUUCUGUACGUAUAUUAUGAACAUUCCUGUCCCUGUUUGCCAUGCCUGUGUCUGUUGUGACAUGUUGAUUCUAAAAAAUGCUAAUAUAUGUCUUGCUGUGUUGCAGUCCCAUUGGUGGAAUUCGGCUGUUCCUGUCCUUAGGGCAUAUAGUUGUGUCUUUGACACAUUCCCAAUUUCCAUUUUGAAUUUGAUUAUAAGAUAUUGCAAUAUGAUUUAAGAUGAAAUAACUCCAUACAACAAGGGCAAUGUUAUGCAUUUGUUGUUAUUCAUUAAGUGUUGAUUCAAUUUAACAUAUUGUGAAUUAAUAAAGAAAUGUAUAACAUUUCCGUUUGCAGAAAGAAUGCGUAUUCUUAUUGAUAAAUCUGGUUUAUUGAAUUUUGAAAAAUUUGGUCUUUGUUCUGUUUUAAGUAUAUAUUUGUUGAGACAGAAAAAGUUCUUAUACGUUUCUAAAAAGAAAAUUUUACUAUGCUUUUUUUCAAAAGGUAAUAAAAAAAAUGGGUCACCGUGCUGUUUUUCAAGUUAUAAGUCGUUGAAGAUUGCCUUAAUUUUGUAACUUUGUUCAUAGAAAAAAACAAAUUCGUGCCCAUAAAAAAAUCCAUGAGAUAGAAUAUUGAAACAAAUUAUGAGAAGUUGGGUUUUUUUAAAUACUUAAAGAAAAGAAAAGUAAAAAUGGUGUCACUGAACUUUUUUUCUCUCUAUAAGUUAAAAUUAAUAAUUUCCAUAUGAUUCCAGUUUUUAUUUUUUACUUAAAGUGAUAUUUCCUCUUAAAUUGCUCUUUAGGGGGAGAAAUGAUGCUAAACACAACAAAAAUGAUAUUUGUUUAAAUAUUUUGAAUAAUCGUAUUAGACUUUAUAACACAUAGCUUUACAUUUGAUAGUUUUAAAAUGAUUGGUUUUAAGUGAAAUAUUCAUUUUUGCACCUUGUCGUGUUUCUCUACUGAAUAAGUUCGAAAGAUUUAGAUUGCACAGUUAUAUAGCACAAUGAGUAAGGGCAUACAUUUUUCAUUAAUUUAAGUUGGUCGUAACUGGUGUUUUAUCUUGAAAAGAAAGCAUAUUUUAUCCGGAUAUAAAGAUAUUUUAUACUCGAAUUUUUACAGAGACACUUAAUACAAAAUAAAAAAUAAGGUUGUCAAGUCUUUUCAUAAUAUUCUUUCUUUCCCUCAAUUAAUAGUUACUCUUGAUUAGCAAGUUAUUGGAGCCGAAUUCUCACAAUAUGAAAAUGAAAAUAGAAAUUGUAUUUCAUGAAAAAAGUUAAUAAACAGAAUUAAUACGAAAACAUAUUUUAAUAUAUCUUUUUCUGUGGCAAGAAGAUUACAUUUUCAAUUCUUUAUUAGUGUGUUUCAGUACAUAUUGGUACAAUAAGGAAAGGGAAAUUCAAUUUAUCAUUUAUCAUUUAUCGCACAAUUUAUAUAAAUAAAUUGUUUGGUUGUCUUUAAAUAAAUACUGCAUUAUAUGUGAAAAGAACAAUAAGAUAUAUGUUACAAAGAUUCACCGUCGGACAUAUUCAGCUAUUUAAAUUUCUGAAACCGAACCUUUUAAUUGUUUUAAAUUACAACUAUUAUUCAAUGCUUCAAUAACUGUGAAGAGUUUUGUAUUGUUAUAAAUUGUCAAUAGAACACUUCCUGGUAUGACAAACAAAACAUUUAAUGCGUUGCAGAUCUUAUUCAUUAUGACUAUUCUUUAUAAUACACCUUAGACAAAAAUGUUAUGUUCAGUCAGAUCAAAAUCUAUUUAAACCUUGCAACUUAUUUUAAGUAUUUGUCGAUUCGACCAUCCUAAGGGUUGUUAGUUGUUAAAUUUUAGGAUAGUUGCCUGCUAUUAGAAUUUUUUUUACUUCUGAGUUUAUUGACUUCGGACAGGCGCAACAAUGCGGCAGGUUAAACACGUUUUGUGAGAUCUCAACUUUCCUCCCAUACCUUAAGCCAUUGUUUAAUAAAUAAAAACAAGGAAUAUACCCUGGUUACUAAGAUAAUAAAAAGUCCGAGUCAAAUUUGAACUAGGUAGCAGAAGAAACGAAAUAAAAUUACCAUGGUCAACAAACAUUAAAUAAUGGCUCCUCGCAGCUCACACGGCUUCUCCAAAAUUCUAAUUAAUCAAUUGAAUUGAUCUGAAAGUUUACAUUUUCGUCAUAUAAAGUUAAGCAUUAUCCCUGUAUAUGACAGAUCUUUAAAUUCGUAAGGGGUUAGAUUCGACAUUAAAUAUGUAGGACUCAAAUCUAUGGUGGGUUCAAAAUCUAUGGCGGGUUCCAAAUCUAUGGCGGGUUCCAAAUCUAUGGCAGAUUCCUACUCUAUGGCAAAUAUGACGUAAGAAAUGUCAAAUAAAUUAAAUCUAAGGCAGAUUUUAGUUUUCUCCAAAUAUAUGGCAGAUUUUAGUUUUCUCCAAAUCUAUGCCAGAUCUUCAAAUUACGUCACAAUAGAAAAGCGCAUUAUUUCAUCGUCGCCGCCGCAAACAUUUAUUUUUACGGUGUACAUCAUUUCAAUCAAGUCUGUAUUGAGAUAUAUUAAUUCAUCAUUUACGAAUUUGUUUGGUUCCCAACACGAUUUGGUUGACCAUUAUGAAAUGUUUAUUUCACAAAUAUAUAUAGACAUGAUCCCGUUAUACAUGUCCACUUGAUUAAGACAAGUCAUUGCUCGUUGGUGUACUGCAUUGUUUUCUAUAGGUUCAACAUUAGCCAUAGACUGAUCUGGAAACAACAAAAACCCGCCAUAGAUUAGGAAAUUACGAAUCUUGCCAUAGAUCAGGAUUGUAAAACAAUCUGCCUUGAUUUGGGAUGGCAAGACGUCAGAUUUACCAUAGACUAGGAAUCUGCCAUUGAUUAUGAACCCACCAUAUAUUUGAGUCUUACAGAUAUACCAUUAUACAUGUCCACUUGAUUAAGACAAGUCAUUGAUCGUAGGUGUACUGCAUUGUUUUCUAUAUGUUCAACAUUAGCCAUAGACUGAUCUGGAAACAACAAAAACCCGCCAUAGAUUAGGAAAUUACUAAUCUUGCCAUAGAUUAGGAUUGUAAAACAAUCUGCCUUGAUUUGGGAUGGCAAGACGUCAGAUUUACCAUAGACUAGGAAUAUGCCAUUGAUUAUGAACCCACCAUAUAUUUGAGUCUUACAGAUAUACCAUAUCGUUGAACAUAAACCUUUUCGUGCAAAUGAUUUUUGAACAAAUGUGUUGAUUUCCGACGCGAACAAAUGUGAGUGAAUCAAUAUCAAAUCAAACUUAUGUCAGCUAACUGGAACCUUUCCAACAUAUUAAAAGAGGUAUGGAGAAAAAUGUGUAUGCUUAAAUGUUUUGUUAACUUUUGGGGUGGAUGACGACAUGCGUGUCCUGUGUUUAGAAUAUUAUCAUAAAACAAAUGGUAUUUGAAAUAUCUGAACGUAUACGUAUAUGCGUUGUCUGCACUGUGAUUUAUACAAACAAAUAAUGUCCUUGUUCAGAUGAAAAUAAAAUCAGAAAAUGUUUUGUGCCUGGUGUUAUAAUUUUUUAAUAAUACAAAGAUUGCCUUCGUUAAAAUCAGACACGUUGUUCAAUACAUGAACAAAUCAAAUUUAUAGAGGUUUAUAAACAACAUGCAAUGGAGUUUACGGAACUUCACGAUCAUAAAAUAUAUAAUUACACAAACAAAAGAAAUGCAAAAUUAUCUAUUCUAUAGAAAAAGUGUAGUGAUAAGCUUCUUGAAAAGGUAGUGUUCAUUUUUACUAUUAGCUUCCUUUGAAUAUGUUCAAUAUGACAUCUAUUUAGUCAACGUACGGAAAUCGUCAUUAUUAUAUCAAAGUAAAAUUUCUAGUAAUGUUAUUAAACUUUUGAAUCAGAUGUUAUUUUAAUUGUGUGUUGCUGCUUUUAAACAUAUAUUGUGACUCGGAAUUAUUCGAACGGAAUUUCCGUUUCAAAUUGACAGUGUGUUGUUUCCAUAUCUAAAACAUUGAUUUGAGACGACAACAGUUUUUUUUUUUUGCACUUUUGAGAUUUAAAACCAAACAUUUUAAAAAAAACAAUGUUUUAUCCCAUUAGUGACAUUUUGAGCAUUACUUGAUAAACCUAUUUAAUAUUUUUAAACAAAUUUGAAAAUUCAUUUCGUACUUCGAACAUUAUGUGUCGAUUUGUUUCCAACUUUCCGCAAAAAUAGUUUGCACCCAAUGAUUGUUUACAUGAAAUUUAGUUACUUUCCGACAGUGUUAGAUUUUCAUUUUCUAAUGUGCAUGCAAUGAAAAUGAAAGCUUUUUAAAAAAGUGUAUCUCAUUUUGCUUUAGUUUUAAUACUUUUUGAUGAACUUUAUUCUUAAGUCGUGUAUCGUUUAUUUUGUUGGCUAGUAUACACCAAAUAUAUUAUGCUUAUUCAAAACAAACAGAUGUAUUACAUUUCGGGUGGAAAAUAUAUAAAUUUCCCAUUUGUUAAAAAUAGACUUCGAGUUGGGAAUUUUCAAUGUCUUUGAACUCUAAUAUUUAAAUUCAUAAAGGGCUUGUAUUGUAUGACACAAAUGUUUUUCAAAAAAUGUGUAAACCAAUUAUGCACAACUGAUAUUCUAAUUGCAUGUCACUCUUAAAUAUUUGAGUGUUAAGAGAUAUACAGAAGAAUGCAUAUGCUGAAAUGUCACGCCUUCUUUUCUAAUUGUGAUUGUUGUUUUUAAUAUAGAAUUACUUACGACAUAGAAUAGUUACGUAAUACAACUAUUAACAGAACAAAUAAAGUAUUGAAAAAAUGUUUAUCUCCGUAUAACCGAUUACUGAUUCUUAUUCGUUUGUUACAUAUGUAAGUCUGGUUGUUUUAUUUUAGAUAAUUCGGUACAAUAGUUAUCAAAAGUACCAGGAUUAUAAUUUUAUACGCCAGACGCGCGUUUCGUCUACAUAAGACUCAUCAGUGACGCUCAGAUCAAAAUAGUUAAAAAGCCAAAUAAAUACAAAGUUGAAGAGCAUUGAGGAUUCAAAAUUCCAAAAAAUUGUGCCAAAUACGGCUAAGGUAAUCUACUCCUGGGGUAAGAAAAUCCUUAGUUUUUCGAAAAAUUCAAAGUUUUGUAAACAGAAAAUUUAUAAAAAUGACCAUAUAAUUGAUAUUCAUGUCAACACCGAAGUGCUGACUACUGGGCUGGUGAUACCCUCGGGGACGAAACGUCCACCAGCAGUGGCAUCGACCCAGUGGUGUAAAUAGUUAUCAAAAGUACCAGGAUUAUAAUUUUAUACGCCAGACGCAAGUACAAGUGAUUAAUUUGAUCUUGGAAUAUUACAUGCAAUUCUAUUUAUUCGCUUUUAUGUGUUAUUACUAAACAGUAAUUUAAAGCCAAUAGACAUAUACUUUUCAUUUGAUUUCGCUUUAAACUAUGUAUUUUAACAUAAAACAAAAUAUGGAGGGUCUUGUUACAAUUAUAUUCUGUUAAAAAAUACAUAAUGCUUUUUUUGUCUUUCAUUUUGUAUUUUUCAGAUUCUGACGAGCCUCGCUUUGAAUAACAAAAAGAGACAUAUAAUGCAAUUUUUAGUGUAUCGUUGACCAAGUUGUACUUAAAGAAUAAAUACAAUGAGUUAUCCAGGUAAU